GACGAACGCUGGCGGCGUGCUUAACACAUGCAAGUCGAACGGAAAGGCCCCUUUGGGGGUACUCGAGUGGCGAACGGGUGAGUAACACGUGAGUAACCUGCCCUUGACUUCGGGAUAACUUCAGGAAACUGGGGCUAAUACCGGAUAGGAAUCCUUGCUGCAUGGUGGGGGUUGGAAAGCUUCGGCGGUUUUGGGUGGACUCGCGGCUUAUCAGCUUGUUGGUGGGGUAGUGGCUUACCAAGGCUUUGACGGGUAGCCGGCCUGAGAGGGCGACCGGCCACAUUGGGACUGAGAUACGGCCCAGACUCCUACGGGAGGCAGCAGUGGGGAAUAUUGCACAAUGGGCGGAAGCCUGAUGCAGCAACGCCGCGUGCGGGAUGACGGCCUUCGGGUUGUAAACCGCUUUCAGCAGGGGCGAAGCUUGUGGUGACGGUACCUGCAGAAGAAGCACCGGCUAACUACGUG
rnacentral:rRNA from 1 species